rnacentral:rRNA from 1 species
UACGUAGGGGGCAAGCGUUGUCCGGAAUCAUUGGGCGUAAAGAGCGUGUAGGCGGUCCGGUAAGUCGGCUGUGAAAGUCCAAGGCUCAACCUUGGGAUGCCGGUCGAUACUGCCGGACUAGAGUUCGGAAGAGGCGAGUGGAAUUCCAGGUGUAGCGGUGAAAUGCGUAGAUAUCUGGAGGAAUACCGGUGGCGAAAGGCGGCAUCCUGGACCGACAUGACGCUGAGGAGCGAAAGGCUAGGGGAGCAAACGGG